UUUCGAAUUCGGACCGUUCGAUGCUGCGUUCGAGGUUCGACCAAAGAUUUUUCAGCUUCGUUACGAAGCCGUGGAUGUCGCCUACGCAGAUUACGAGCCUGGGUUUUGGGUUUGGAGGCUCUGACAUUGGUGCGAUUUUCUGGGUUUUGGUUUGGUUCCAAGCUUCUAUUUCAGUACACAAUUUUGAUAAAGAAACACAUUAUAUUUGAAUCCGAUAUGGUUUAGAUCAUAGGAUGUAGACAGUGGCGGAUUAAUUUAAAGUUUAAUAAAACUGAUUUAAUUUGCGAUUCCAAUUUGUAGUUUAAUUAGUUCUGAAUUACACAUUUUAUAUUUUCCAUGAAAACAAACAGCAAAUACCCAAAAUAGCAGUUAACCAAGGAUUAGGAUUUCCUCCAUCUACAAAUAAACUGCAUAAUCCGAUGUUUAUCAUCCAAGGGUUCAGAAUUUUUUGUUUUCGAUUUUAUAUUUAAUGUAUAUAAUUUAGUUUUAAUGGCUAAAAUUUCUUCCAGCAUUUGACUGCAGAAGUACACCCUCCUAACAAACGAUAUUUCGAAACUAAAACAAUCAUAAUCUCAACUAUGCAACGCAUAAAGUCGCAAGCAGCAUGAACAAGGGUUUUCAUCAGUAUUAAAUGAGAAGGUAACAAGGCUAGUAAAAAUUUUAACUCUGCUGUUAAUUAAUUAUCGCCUGUUAUCCCAAUAUGAACAUCUUCAUGGAAUUGAAAAGAUAGACAGAAAACAACACUAAAAAGACGAUACAAACGAAUCAAUUAUGAGAAAUACCUCCCGGCAAUUCAUGGUAGAAUGGAUGAUCAAUCUGCCCCACAUGCACAGCCUUUACAAGGAACAGCCUCUGACUUAAAGGCUGUAUAUUAUAUUAUGACAGUAUCUAGAGAAAAGUUUGUGCACUAGAGUCCUCAAACUUCUAAAAUAUAUACAAUUUCAUACUUUUGUUAACUUCGUCCACCAACUUAUUUGAUUACAAGGUUAUUUCAUGACUAAUUUAGUACCAAAAUUAUCUUUCAAGUGCAUGUUUAACACAUUAUGCACUCACCCUUUUAGAGUCCGCGCAAUACUAUAAAAAGUCUAUAGAAUUGCUUCUAGGAUUUACUCUUGUUUAUUGUUGCUACAGAAUGAUCUUGCUUGUACAUACGCCUACAGGUAACAAAAUUCUUUAAUCUACGCCCACCCAGCAUGGUGACUGGACGAGUAUGACAUGUUUUUGUUCUGAGGAAUUUAUACUUUCAGAGCGCUGAGUAUCAAGUUGCUGUAUAAGGUGAACUUCCUAUACCUCAAAAGACACAUUUUACCUUGUUACAAUCAAAACUACUAUACAACAAAGGCUUACAUAAUUGUUGCAGCUUGACACAUGAAGCAUAGAGCCAAA
rnacentral:lncRNA from 1 species